GAUGAACGCUAGCGGCGGGCCUAACACAUGCAAGCCGAGCGGUAUUGUUUCUUCUGCACUGGGAGCGCGGCGUACGGGUGCGUAACACGUGUGCAACCUGCCUUUAUCUGGGGGAUAGCCUUUCGAAAGGAAGAGUAAUUCUCACUAAUAUAUUGAACGACAUCGUUUAAUAUUGAAAGCUCCGGCGGAAAGAGAUGGGCACGCGCAAGAUUAGCUAGUUGGUGAGGUAACGGCUCACCAAGGCGAUGAUCUGUAGGGGGCCGGAGAGGGUGAUCCCCCACACUGGGACCGAGACACGGACCACUCUCCUACGGGCCGCAGCAGUGCGGAAUAUUGGUCUAUGGGUGCUAGCCUGAACCAGCCAUCCCUGGUGAAGGACUACUGCGCUAGGGGUUGUAAACUUCUUGUGGAUAGGGGUAAUCCUACCCUCCUGAGCGUAGCUGACGGUACUAUAAGAAUAAGCACCGGCUAACUCCGUG
rnacentral:rRNA from 1 species